GGUGCCCGUGCUAGAAUUGUCAGUGGCUGUGGUGUUCAAGAGGCUGACUGUCUCGGAUGCAAGUUUCUGCCGGAUUUGCUAUGUUUUGAUGCUUUUGAGUCGGGCGAACCGCCUUCAAUUAAGCUACCGUUGAUAUCAGCAUAAAAAUGGCUUCUCAAAGCGCGAAACGUCAUGUUAGCAAAAGAGGAACUGGAAAUAACCUCGUUAUCACAAGCAUCACUGCUUCGACAUCAGCUACCCAACCCAAUCCGGCUAUUCCCGUCGGAUUUCCAGUUGCAGCUGAUCUCGCAUCACUGUUCGAAUGUCCUGUGUGCUUCGACUAUGUACUGCCCCCUAUACUUCAGUGUCAAAGUGGUCAUUUAGUUUGUAGCAAUUGCCGACCAAAACUUACGUGCUGCCCCACAUGUAGAGGACCCCUUGGUAAUAUAAGGAACCUUGCAAUGGAAAAAGUGGCUAGCACAGUUAUGUUCCUUUGCAAAUAUUCUACAUCAGGGUGUAAUAUGUCGCUCUUGCAUACAGAAAAAGCAGAGCAUGAAGAAAUUUGUGAAUAUAGGCCAUAUUGUUGCCCUUGCCCUGGGGCAAGUUGCAAAUGGCAAGGAUCAUUGGACCAAGUGAUGCCUCAUUUAUUAAUAUCACAUAAAUCUAUAACAACCUUACAAGGAGAAGACAUUGUUUUUCUUGUAACAGACAUCAAUUUGCCAGGAGCCGUCGAUUGGGUCAUGAUGCAGUCUUGUUUUGGGCAUAAUUUUAUGCUAGUACUAGAAAAACAAGAAAAAUAUGCUGGACACCAACAGUUCUUUGCUAUUGUCCAGUUGAUAGGUUCUAGGAAACAAGCAGAAGUUUUUGCCUAUAGGCUUGAACUUAACGGCCAUCGGAGGAGAUUAACCUGGGAAGCGACACCUAGGAGUAUUCAUGAAGGGAUAGCAUCGGCAAUUUUGAGCUCUGAUUGUUUAGUAUUUGACACCUCAAUUGUUCAACUUUUCGAAGAUAAUGGAAACUUAGGCAUAAAUGUUACUAUUUCAAUGGUAUCAGAUAAGGUUCGUGAUUGAUGAACUGAAAGAUGUUUGAAGAUGCUCUACAAAUCUAAUUAAUGAUAUUUUAAAUUAUGUGGUGAAAAAUCUGCAAGGCUUGUUUAUAUUAUUUUCAUUAAUUUUCAUAUUUAAAAAAAAAGUAUUUGUAUGAAUAAUGAGGCUUAACCAGAAAGGAGACAGUAAUAUUUUUCUAUUAUUGUUAGAGGGAUAAUAGAAUAACUGCAACCAAUAUGGCGUGGAGAGGAAUGUAAAAGUAUAUGCAUUUCAACAAUUUUGGGUUUGCAAUGUAUUAAUGAGAUCGUACAAGGAUUGUUUUUCUCUUACAACAUGAAAUAGAAUCGAGACAUAAUGUUGAGUUAUUUUAUAACUGACUGGUUUUAAUUUCUUCUCGCCAUAAAAUUAAUCACAUUAGUAAUACUCUACCUGUUAAAAAUGUGUAUAGUUGUAUAGAAAAUAUUUUAGAGUGAUAAGCAUUUAGUAAAAGUAAUAUAAUUGAACUGUUGAAAGUUUUUACAGCAUUUAUAUAUUAAUUAUCGUUAAAAUAAAGUUAAAGUAAUUUUUAUUGGUCUUACUUUUUGGAAAUUUUGUUUCUGUAAUCUUUGCGUUUGCACAUGGUUGGUAUAAUAAUAGUAUUAAAAUGUAGGUUUGGUUGUAACAUUACAAUAUACUAUAUUUUUGAAUACACCUUUUUGUAAACUGUAAAUGAUUUUAUGCUCUUUUGCAAAUCAUACAAAUGUUAAAUCAAAAUAAUUUUUGAUUUUGUAUUAUCAUUUCCCUUGUGAUGUUCGGUUUGAGUAAAUUUAAUUCUCAUUUUAUUUUUUGUCUAGAAUUUGAAAGUAAUUAAAUAUGUAAAUAUAAUAGUAGUAUAUCUUUGAACUUGAAUGUAGUUUUAAAUUGGUUAGAUGAAAAGCUUUUAAUUUUUUGUACGUUCAUUUUGUCUCCUUCAUUUUAUACUUUCCAUUUUUUUAAAGAGCUGUGGCUUGAUAACAGUCAGUUUAAAAAAAUCUAAAUAAAUAUUCUGUGAUAUAUUAUACGGGAAUAUUUACUGAUUCCUGUUUUUACUAUUUUCUUUUUUUCAUUAAGAUCAUAAAUUGAUUUUUUUGUUUUAAUUAUAUAUAAGGCUGAUUGUUUUGUACCCAGUAAGUUCAAAAUAAGGAUUGCAGAUUGCUGACGAUGAGAAACAAUGUGUAAAUAUUUUAAAAUAUUUUUUAUAUCAGUCACAAUUUGUAAAAAAUAUUUUCUCCUUUUCCAGAUUGGUU